rnacentral:rRNA from 1 species
UACGUAGGUGGCAAGCGUUGUCCGGAAUUAUUGGGCGUAAAGCGCGCGCAGGCGGUCCUUUAAGUCUGAUGUGAAAGCCCACGGCUCAACCGUGGAGGGUCAUUGGAAACUGGGGGACUUGAGUGCAGAAGAGGAAAGCGGAAUUCCACGUGUAGCGGUGAAAUGCGUAGAGAUGUGGAGAAACACCAGUGGCGAAGGCGGCUUUCUGGUCUGUAACUGACGCUGAGGCGCGAAAGCGUGGGGAGCAAACAGG